rnacentral:sRNA from 1 species
ACGCCCCUCCAACUCCGCAUUAGCGGAGGACUGGGAGGUGCCCCGGGACCCGGUGGAGCUAGGUGGUUGAGCUAUCUUCUCCCUUCUAAGGUGCGGAGUGGUGGCUAUGUUAACAGUUUCCCCUUCACAGAUGAAAGAACUCAAGUUUCAAAAAGUUUUUACCUACUCAGAUCUGACAAAUAGUUUCUCAGAUGGUCAGGCACCAAAACAGAACAGAAGGGAACGGGAAAGUUUCCCAGGAUGGUCGGUAGCACGUAGAGGUGUUUUAGCUGUUGAUCUGAUGCUCAGCUAGGUCAUGCUGGCUUACACACUCCCUAGCCGCAGUACAUUCCCUACCAGUCCAAACUAGAUGCCAUACUUUAUAGGGUUUUAAAAAUCAUUUUUGACUAGAAGACUGGUAGAAAGAGCAGACACAGGUGGAAUAUGAAGUAUGAUGUGCUCAGUGCUGACAUCUGAGGCAGGAGCUCAUCGUGUAGAUCAGGCUGGCCUUAAACUCAGAAAUCUCUCUGACUACCUUCUCAUAUUGUGAUCAAAGUCAUGUGCCACCAUGUCUGGCAAAGUCUUCAUUUUGGUAACUGAUGAAAACCUUUUUCUUAAAUAUACCGUCAGUGCUAAGUAGUGAACGAGCACAGGGCAUGCUAUCCACCCACAAACUGUUCGAUGAAGGGAAAUGAGACAAACUGAGAUGUGGAAACAGGGAGCCUGGAUGUGGUGGUUCUAAGUAUGGUAAUGUUCAAAAACUCAAUGAAAAUCCUUUCUUGGCUUCCUCUCCUGGCUUGUUAGUGCUGCCCCUGUUUUAACGGGGCAAAGCAGAAGUGACAGCACUGACCUCAGAGGAAAGGUCAUAAAAGGCACUAGUGCAUGUUUUUGCUAGGCUUUUCAUUCACUUCAGUCAGGGGUUGUCGAUUGUUAUGCCAUAAUACCAGAGGAACUAUGGAGAGGUGCCGCUCUCUGUGGAGCUGAAACCUACAAAGCUUUGUGGUUUGUCUCGGAAACAGACCCUCUAUGCCUGGUCCAGCCCUGAGCUGACUGCAGACUUUAUGAGACUUUCAGCUAGGAAUACCCAGCUUAGCCACUUCACUGGGGUGGGGUAGUUGUCUCUUUAGGAGUGCUCCUCCUGUAAGCACAGGGCUGGGGACUCUAUCCCCAACAAUCAUGGAAGUGAAUGCCUGGAUCCUGGCACGAAGGAGAGUCAGAAAUUCAAGGAUAAAUCUGGGACCAGCCUGGGUGGGCUAUGAGACCUGUCUUAAAAAUGGGCGGGGGUAGACUUGUUACAUGGCAUAAGUAACUAUUAGACAAGGUAAAGGAGAAAGUAUGGGGCACACAUGAAUGUGAGAGUCACUGUAGCUUUUGUGUAAACUUCAAAAUAAAACGUUAAAAAUAAACCUGGUUGGAUGUCCUGUUCCUUCUACUUCCAUGCCGACAAGGAAUGGAAAAUAAACCAAGUUUCAUGGAUGGGAAAAGAAAAGCAUCUUGGGUGGUAAGAUUUUUCAUCAUACUUACUUUAAAAAUAAAAUCCUCAUAUAGAAACUAUCUUGACGUCCAACCUGAAGCUGCUGAGAGUGGGAGAGACUUUGUAUCUAAUCCUGAGAGCUUAUUUUGGACGCAUCUGUGAUGUAGAAAGAGACGGACCAGGAUUCAAGGACAGCCUCUACAGGAAGUACAAGGGAAAUACUCAUCUAUUUAUUCCCUGUUGGAGUCUUCACACCAGUUAUACCAACUUAAAACAAAGUGUUGCGUGGUGGCACACGCCUCAAUUCCAGCAGCCAUUAGGCAGAGUCCAGCAUCCCUGUGACUUUGAGGCCAGCAAGAGCUAUGUGGAGAGAGAUCCUCUCUAAAGCAAACAAACGGUUUUAGCCCUCUCCUAAAGAACAGCUUUCCUGUAACUAGGUAAAAAUAUAUAUGAGUUCCCUAUGUACACCACACCUCUACUUUAAAUGCUCUCUGACUUCCCCUUUGUGUCUUUUCCUCCUUUUAUCAAAAUGAAAACACCCUUCCUACUUUAAAAGCACCACUAUCCUUUACACUUCUCUACUUUCCAGGUCCUCAGCCAUAUGACUUCAAAUAACUCUAGCAAAGUAUGCUUUAAGGAAAAUGAUUUCUUUAUUUUUAUAUUUUUCAGAAUAUCAAGAUGUAUUUUUGGAGAUAAAUUAGUCAUCUCUUGAACAAUUCACAAAAGCCACAUUCACACUGAAGAAAUUUGACAGAAACACUCUCGUAGGGUCUCUCUAUAUAUCCCUGGAUGUCCUGCAGC